rnacentral:rRNA from 1 species
AGUGAACGCUGGCGGUAGGCCUAACACAUGCCAGUCGAACGGCAGCACAGUAAGAGCUUGCUCUUACGGGUGGCGAGUGGCGGACGGGUGAGGAAUACAUCGGAAUCUACUUUUUCGUGGGGGAUAACGUAGGGAAACUUACGCUAAUACCGCAUACGACCUACGGGUGAAAGCAGGGGAUCUUCGGACCUUGCGCGAUUGAAUGAGCCGAUGUCGGAUUAGCUAGUUGGCGGGGUAAAGGCCCACCAAGGCGACGAUCCGUAGCUGGUCUGAGAGGAUGAUCAGCCACACUGGAACUGAGAAACGGUCCAGACUCCUACGGGAGGCAGCAGUGGGGAAUAUUGGACAAUGGGCGCAAGCCUGAUCCAGCCAUACCGCGUGGGUGAAGAAGGCCUUCGGGUUGUAAAGCCCUUUUGUUGGGAAAGAAAAGCAGCAGGUUAAUACCCCGCUGUUCUGACGGUACCCAAAGAAUAAGCACCGGCUAACUUCGUG